AGAGUUUGAUCCUGGCUCAGGAUGAACGCUGGCUACAGGCUUAACACAUGCAAGUCGAGGGGCAGCAUGCCGGUUGCUUGCAACCGGUGAUGGCGACCGGCGCACGGGUGAGUAACGCGUAUCCAACCUUCCCGCGACCAAGGGAUAACCUGCCGAAAGGCAGACUAAUACCUUAUGUCCUCCUUUGAAGGCAUCUGACGAGGAGCAAAGAUCCGUCGGUCACGGAUGGGGAUGCGUCCGAUUAGCUUGUUGGCGGGGCAACGGCCCACCAAGGCUUCGAUCGGUAGGGGUUCUGAGAGGAAGGCCCCCCACACUGGAACUGAGACACGGUCCAGACUCCUACGGGAGGCAGCAGUGAGGAAUAUUGGUCAAUGGGCGGAAGCCUGAACCAGCCAAGUAGCGUGCAGGACGACGGCCCUACGGGUUGUAAACUGCUUUUAUGCGGGGAUAAAGUUGCCCACGCGUGGGUUUUUGCAGGUACCGCAUGAAUAAGGACCGGCUAAUUCCGUGCCAGCAGCCGCGGUAAUACGGAAGGUCCGGGCGUUAUCCGGAUUUAUUGGGUUUAAAGGGAGCGCAGGCCGCCGUGCAAGCGUGCCGUGAAAAGCAGCGGCCCAACCGCUGCCCUGCGGCGCGAACUGCCUGGCUUGAGUGCGCCGGAAGCGGGCGGAAUUCGUGGUGUAGCGGUGAAAUGCUUAGAUAUCACGAAGAACCCCGAUUGCGAAGGCAGCCCGCUGUGGCGCCACUGACGCUGAGGCUCGAAGGUGCGGGUAUCGAACAGGAUUAGAUACCCUGGUAGUCCGCACGGUAAACGAUGGAUACCCGCUGUCCGGCCCGUAUGGUCUGGGCGGCCAAGCGAAAGCGUUAAGUAUCCCACCUGGGGAGUACGCCGGCAACGGUGAAACUCAAAGGAAUUGACGGGGGCCCG
rnacentral:rRNA from 1 species